UACAGAGGGUGCAAGCGUUGCUCGGAAUUAUUGGGCGUAAAGGGCAGGUAGGUGGUCUCAUUUAUCUGGGGUGAAAGCCUUCGGCUUAACCGAAGAAGUGCCUCAGAAACGGUGAGACUAGAGUCUUGGAGAGGUAAGCGGAAUUCCCGGUGUAGCGGUGAAAUGCGUAGAGAUCGGGAGGAACACCAGCGGCGAAGGCAGCUCGCUGGGACGGUACUGACGCUGAGACGCGAAAGCGUGGGGAGCAAACAGG
rnacentral:rRNA from 1 species